GAUGAUUUCAUGAUGAGCGAACACAACUCUGAUAUCAAAAAAGUGGACACACCUGAGAAUUAUGAUGAUGUCAUCAUUAAUAGACUGAGCUCUAAAGAGGUAACAGAGAGAGUUCAGGAGGAGUAUGAUGAUGUGAUGUGAUGUGAUGUGUCAGUGAAGAUGUGAGAAACCUGUUGG